CUUAGUCAAUCAUAGGGUGGAAAGAGGGUGGCAUUCACCUCUCUGAGACAAAGGCUGUGACUCUGGGAAAGACAAGAGAAGGGCAGGACCAAAACAGGAAGAGAGACAGCUGCUUUCAUAGCUUCCACAGGUGAAUGGGGUCAGCAGGGAAAGGAACUGCACAAGGAGAAGACCAUACAGACUGCAGGCAUCCGUGGCCCUUCCAGAUCUUUGAGUCAUCCUAUCACAGGAGAUUGGGAAGGAGUUGACGGACCAACCCAAGGAGAGGAAGCCUCUGUGUUGAACAGUAAAGGUGCCUGCCUGUAGCCUAGUGUCAACUAGACGGUUCUGGGAAGAGGGACGGGCCUGAGAGACAAGCACAGGCAUCUAGAGCUAUACACCCCACAGACAAGCCUGACCACAAGCAGAUCAUGGAAUAUAUCAAGAAGCCUGAGGAAUGAGUAUGGCCUGGACUACAGGUUGACAAAACCAAGGCAGCUGAGCCAUGUGCCAAAACAACACCCCCAUCUGUCUAUCCACUGGCCCCUGGAUCUGAUGUCAAAACUAACUCCAUGGUAACCCUGGGAUGCCUGGUCAAAGGCUAUUUCCCUGAGCCAGUGACCGUGACCUGGAACUCUGGAGCCCUGUCCAGCGGUGUGCACACCUUCCCAGCUGUCCUGCAGUCUGGACUCUACACCCUCAGCAGCUCAGUGACUGUACCCUCCAGCACCUGGCCCAGCCAGACCGUCACCUGCAACAUAGACCACCCGGCCAGCAGCACCAAGGUGGACAAGAAAGUUGUGCCCAGAGACGAUUGUGGUUGCAAGCCUUGCAAAUGUCCAGUCCCAGAAGUAUCAUCUGUCUUCAUCUUCCCCCCAAAGCCUAAGGACGUGCUCACCAUCACCCUGACUCCUAAGGUCACAUGCGUUGUGGUAGACAUCAGCCAGGAUGAUCCCGAGGUCCAGUUCAACUGGUAUGUAGAUGACAUAGAAGUGCACACAGCUCAGACUCAACGCCCGGAAGAGCAGUUCAACAGUACUUUCCGCUCAGUCAGUGAACUCCCCAUCAUGCACCAGGACUGGCUCAGUGGCAAGGAGUUCAAAUGCAAGGUCAACAGUGCAGCUUUCCCUACCCCCAUCGAAAAAACCAUCACCAAAGACAAAGGUACACCACGUGCUCCACAGGUAUACACCAUACCGCCUCCCAAGGAGCAGAUGACCAAGGAGGAAGUCACUCUGACCUGCUUGGUAGUAGGUUUCUAUCCUUCUGACAUUUCUGUGGAGUGGCAGAGGAAUGGCCGGCCAGAGGAAAACUACAAGAACACUCAACUCACCAUGGACACAGAUGGUUCUUACUUCAUGUACAGCAAGCUUGAUGUGAAGAAGAACUCCUGGCUUGAGGGAGAUUCCUUCACCUGCUCUGUACUCCAUGAGGCCCUGCAUAAUCACCAUACUGAGAAGAGCUUCGCCCUAUCUCCUGGUAAAUGACCCCAGUGACCUGUGAGCCCUUGGGUCCUGAGGGAUGCUGACACCUACCUCUACCCUUUCCUCGUGUAAAUAAAGCACCCGGCACUACCUUGAUAUACUG